CAAUCCUGAGAGAGAUGCAGCUCUGGAAGUGUGGUGAAUGUUUCUCUUCCCUUCCGGUCUCCAGCUGCAGCCCUGCUGGCCCUCCAUGCUAUGCUACUGCAAUAACAACUUAUUAACAGCAACUAUCCAGCAGCUAUCAUCUCAUAUGAAUCAACAUAGCUCCAAUUAAGUUAACGGGGCAGAUCCACACCUCCUGGAGCUCUCCUGAAGUCCCCUGCUGAAUUAUACCUGCUAAGGAUAUGGACCAAUCUUUUAUGACUAAUCCUUCAACAUAAUUUAUUUUUUAAGACUCAAAUUCCUCUUAAUUAUGUGUACAUGAGGAUUAUAUUACUCAGAAUGUCAAAUUUGUCAUAUAUUAUGUAUAGGAUCCAUUUGUAUUCUCUCUUCCCCUUCUCAGUUUCAAUGAUACAGGGUGCACAUGUGCUGGACUGUGCAGUUGUUACUGCGCAGUCCCAAUGCCCCGCAGAUUUUUUCCCACACUACUGUGCAAUAAUGUUGGCAUCAGUUUGUACCCGUCAGUAUUAUGUCGCCAAAGCAAUGAGUUAUGUCGAUGUAGCUCAUCAUUAUGGCGACAUAGCAUCUCAUGUAGAUGCACCCACAGAGUAGCAGUAGGGUUAAAACCAUAUCCUUUCCAUUUUCAGGUUAGAUAGGAACAAUUCUGCCAUUAUGAUCCUCUUCUAAAGCAUUGGUCCAACUGGACCAUGAAAGUAUUAUUGAUAUAGAAAUUAGUAUUAUUAGUAGCACAGAUGAUCCGUUAUUUAUGAGACAAAUCAGAGUGGUGAAUCACCAAUGCUUCAUUAUCACUGCUAUGUGACUAGAAGGAGGUGGUUACUGAACCAUGUGUUAAAAAACAGGUUAUUUGCUUCUUCAUUUGUGAAUGAAAGGCAAGGGUGAAGGUUAGAAAGUAGAGAUAUGACAGUUCAUCAUAUUGUCAUUCCCAGGUUUUGGCUGUGGAAGUCUGAAAACUCUAUCCCACAAAUGAUUGUCAACUUUGACAAAAAUUAAAGCUAGAUGAACUUG